rnacentral:rRNA from 1 species
UAGCCAACACUGUUUUUUUUUAUAUAUAUAUAUAUAUAUAUAUAUAUAUUUUUUUUUUUUUUUUUUUAAUUAGGGUAGCCCCCAAAAUAUUGGGACAUAUAAAAAAAGACAACUCUGUUCCGCAGAGUAGCUGUUGACAUUAUAGUUGCGCACGCACUUUGUUGACUCUAGAGAACCUCGGGCCAAUCGCACAUCCCCGUGGCGGCGACUUUGCAUGUGGAUUUCAUCCAUAUCAACUUUCGAUGCCAGUUUCUGCACCUACCAUGGAGACCACGGUUAACGGGGAAUCAGGGUUCCAUACCGCACAGGGACCCUGAGAAACAGCUACCACAUGCAAGGAAAGCA